rnacentral:rRNA from 1 species
AAAUUGAAGAGUUUGAUCAUGGCUCAGAUUGAACGCUGGCGGCAGGCCUAACACAUGCAAGUCGAACGGUAACAGGAAACAGCUUGCUGUUUCGCUGACGAGUGGCGGACGGGUGAGUAAUGUCUGGGAAACUGCCUGAUGGAGGGGGAUAACUACUGGAAACGGUAGCUAAUACCGCAUAACGUCGCAAGACCAAAGAGGGGGACCCUCGGGCCUCUUGCCAUCGGAUGUGCCCAGAUGGGAUUAGCUUGUUGGUGGGGUAACGGCUCACCAAGGCGACGAUCCCUAGCUGGUCUGAGAGGAUGACCAGCCACACUGGAACUGAGACACGGUCCAGACUCCUACGGGAGGCAGCAGUGGGGAAUAUUGCACAAUGGGCGCAAGCCUGAUGCAGCCAUGCCG